GUCGCCCUCGGUCCGCUUUGUGCCUCGAAACCUCUCCCGGGCGCCGUCCAUCUCUCGAGGAACCGCUCUCCCCACUCUCCUCGCAUCCCCGCACCGGGCAGGAGUGUGCCACACCUGCCCGAGCUCCGCCGAGUGACGUUAGGUAAUCGAGGAAAGAAGAAACGGCAGACACACACACAUACACACGCAUAUACACGCACAAAAAAGGCAGCAAUGCCCCUAGGCGUGCCGGAUCCGGCGGGCGGGGCCGCGCCAUCGCCCUACUGCCACGGGAGCGGCGUGGAACGAUGCGGCAGAGGGGGAGAAGCGGGCGGUGCUGCGGUGCUCGGGGUGUGGGUGCUUCUCUGGGGACAGCGAUCUCUGAAUGCACGCAGCCCAAAUGCGGAACGCAUCCAACGCUCCCUUUGCCGCUUUGCUGCAUGAACACACCCUACAGAUGUGAUCGAUUUCAUAGAAUCGGAGGAUCAUUUGAGUUGGAAAGGAUCCCUAAAGGUCAUCUAGUCCGAUCCCCCUGCGAUGAACAGGGACAUCCACAACUCUAUCAGGUUGCUCCGAGCCCUGUCCAGCCUGACCUGGAAUUUAGACAAAUUCGGGUCCCCAAAUCACAGAAUCAUAGAAUCACAGAAUCACCAACGUUGGAAAAGACCUGCGAGAUCAUCCAGUCUAACCGUCCACCUACUGCCAGUAUUUUCCCACUAAACCACGGGGAUUUAAAUCUGCCUUUGGACAUUCUUUUGUCCUAACCAGGGAGAUGUGGGGUAUGCACAACUUCUCCUCCCGUGUGCAAGGAAUGAAGGAGGAGGUCGCUAUCCGGAAGGAAGGAAAAGCACGGAACAUCUGACAAAGGAUGGGAAGCUCUGGCCGCGUAGCUCUGUCCCGGUCCUCCCUGCAGCACAGCUGUUUGUCCUGAACCCAUGCUGCCUCUAUGGCAAUCCCCGGCUUCCACCAUCACUCAGCCCAGUCACCUCUCGUCACCUCUCUCUCCCUGCAGCCUUUCAGCCCCCUCUGACUACCAGGCGGCACCGACUGUCACGUUUCCAUCUUUGCCACGGGGGAACAAACCCAUCCCCGAGCAACCCCUCGCUCUUCCAUCCGGACGCAGCUGGUUCUGACCGACGGCUCCUCGCAGUGCGUUAGGUGUGACGCGGGGAGGCCGCCCCUUACCCCUCAUCCCCACAGCAGGAACCCAGAUGCGCACAACUCGCCCCCAGCACCCACCGCUCCCCGGGCGCUGCGAGCCUUAGCAGGGAGCACCUGCUCCUGGAAAGCAGCGCAUCCCCGUUGUGCUCUAGGAAGAAAGAGCGACGACCCAAAACAAAACCCACGUUAAAAACCCCACCGGCGCCGCUCUUUCACGACCAGCCUGGAGAGUAAGCGCUCCCUCCUCACACAGCCGUCACAACGAGAGCAAACCCGGAGCCCCCGCCGCUCCCCGGAGCCGCCCGCCUGGCCCGGCCCCGCCCGCUGCUGCGCUUCGCAUGGGCACCGCGGGAGGGAGCGCUGCGCUCAGUUUACGCGCAAUCCAAUUUCCCUGUGUCGAGCGCAGGGAGAGGCGCUCCGUGCCCGCAGCCAGGUGGGACGUGCAGGCCCUGGAGCCUGCCUUAUCCCUAUGUUCCUGGCUCUGACUUAGCUCGUAAUGUGAAGCACAUGUGCUUCCCAGGAGGUCCUGCUCCAGCCAUCGAUUUAAGAGGCUUCCCUGCUUCUUAGAAGUCCGUGUGCAAGUUUUCCCAAAGAUGGGUAUAGAUGCUGUUCCGACAGUUCCAUUUAUUUGUGGUUAUCUGGGCUAUUUUUGUCUCCUACCCCAAUUACCCUCAAGCCUCGGAGCUGCUUAUGUACAAAAGAAGCGAAUGUGCAUCCCUUGUGACUUACAUGUUCCAGACCCUUCCAUGACCAUCUGCAAGUCAGAUCUUGGAGUCUCUUCUCCACUUUUACAUGCACGUUUCACUGCAGCAACAGCUGAAUCAGGGCUUCUCUGUUUGGCUUGUAUGGUCAAAAAAUGUCUUUCAUGUAACAGCUAUAGUGAGUGUAUCGGUGUCACAACAGUGACCAGAAUUGGCUUCUUGUGCAGUAUUUCUUCUAUUCUCACUCAGAAUGUCAGUAAUCAAAUCAGAUCACACUGUCUGGAUGCACCAAUGUGACAGCUACAAUGCACUGUUGGGUACUCAUGAAGUAGAAUAAGUGAGGUGCACAGGAAAGGAUGCCAAAUACAUCGAGCAAAGAAAAGCUCUGCUUCAGUACUCGGUGUCUGAUCAUCGCACUGAGGGUGACUAAUGUAUGUUACUGUCUGGAUAUGCCAUUUGAAAUGCAAGCUGGAAUCCUGCCUUGGGAAAGAGGCACUGGCUGCAAGCAUAGGGUCACAGCCCUGGAGACACAUCACUCACACUUUCCCUGCUCAACUUCCCUGCACCUCCCCAGUCCUUCCCAGGGCUCAGGACUCAUUUUCUGCCUAGCCCGGUCCAUCAGUCCCUGCCCCAGCAAUGUCACAGCUUUCUCUGACUCCAUCUUCUGCUGCUUCACACUGGACCUCCUGAACAGAGCCUUCACCUCUUGCCACCCUUAAGUUUGGGUCCCUCUCCCUUCUGGCAUCCAGUCUGUUACAGCUGCUUCUUGGCAGCCCUGCUAUGGUCACAGAAAAGAGCUUACAGCCAUACAUUAGAGCAGCUUUGGUCCUGUUCAGCCACAUUUCUUAGUCCCUGGAUUCCUUUCACUUUUUGGCGCUAGGCUUAAAGCUGUCCACUUCUUAUACAUCACUGCUUAUGCUUAGCAGAAGCUGCAGAUUCCUUGUGAGAAUCAAACUCCAUGACUGCAUCUGAGGCAGUUAAAGCUGUUAGUAUUUGUAAACAUUUGGACAGAAGUGGCUCUCCCAGAAAAUAAGAGCCAGAUAGAACUCAUACCUCAAAACCAUUACUCCUAAGUGAACCACCGGACAUGUCAAUAGCAUGAGCUGCUGAGCUCACAACACUCGUCUGCUUUCAAUCUACAGUCAGUGAUGGAGAUUUCUCUGAAAUGGAAAUGUUAGCAGCACAAAGGACCCGGUGCUUCAGACCAUGUGAUGUAGGUAUGCUCUGUGGCUGCACCUCCAUGACCCAUCUUUUCAUACCAGAACUGGGCAUGUUCUCAAGGCACGCACCACAGAUUUAGCCACAGGAUUCUCUGUGUUGGAGCAAGACAUGCUGUCUGCUUCCUGAACGCUUCUUUGAAAUGCUACACUACUUUGAUAUUUUUAUUUUUGCGUUUUUACAUGCCAAACUGAGUUAUCAGUGUCAGAGAGUUGGAGCUUUAAAUAAGCCUUGUAAUGUGCACUACCAGCUGUUCGUGGCUGAAUGACAGAGGGUCUGCAGCCAAGCUAUACCUUUUGCCUUUAUUGGGUGGAUUUUGUGGGUACUGCAAAUAAAAGUGCAUACGGGGACGUAUCACAGAAUUACAGAAUUGCAGAGGUUGAAAGAGACCUCAAGAGAUCCCUGAAACAUGGCCAGAUCAAGGCCGUUACAGUGCAUAAAUCAAAUACUAACACACACAGAAUGAGUCAAGCUUUACUGAAAAACUUCAGAAAGAAAAAGAUAAAGGCCAGUGAGAUCAGUGGUGAUCCAGAAGCUGAUAACAUGUUGUGCUCCAGCACAGAAGUUUCAGACACCUCUUGCCUUAUUGCCUGCAGGUCACUGACUGGUGUAACUGGAUGACUUCAUGCAGUGGAGGCAGGCACUGCUUUACUUACCCAGUAGCUCAUAUUUGUUCAGAGAUAGCUGACAGCCUCGGGGACAGGCACAGGCUGCUACUGUCACCUGAACACCAAUCUGUCCUUCAGAGAGUAUCGGUUAAUUGCAGUAACAACUGAUAUCUAAUCAUAAAAAAAGCCCCUUCCAGUUUCAGUUUAGUGAGUUUAAAAAUUUGAGAAAUAAUUUUCCAGUGAGAAAAGCAGAACAUAAUCUUUUUUACAUCAAAAUCACUGAAAGAAGUCCCAUUGCCAAUAGAGCUGACACACAGCUCACAGGACAAGACAUCUAUUUGUCUGGGAAGUUAUAACAUUGUGUAAGGAGUAGUUCCCAAGUCAUAGAAGCAUAGAAUCAUUAGGGUUGGAAAAGGCCACUAAGAACAUCUAGUCCAACUGUCAACCCAUCCCCAUCCCCACUAAUGCACGUUCCUCAGUGCCACAUUUACAUGUUUCUUGAACACUUUCAGGGAUGAUAACUCUACCACCUUCCUGGGCAGCCCAGGGCUUCAUCGCUCUUUCUGAGAAGAAACAUUUCCUAAUAUCUGGCCUGAACCUCCCCUGGUGCAACUUGAGGCCAUUCCAUCUCAUCAUAUUGGUAGUUACCAGGGAGAAGAAGCCAACCUCAACUACCCUCCUUCAGGUGGUUGUAGAGAGCAAUAAGGUCCCCCCGAGCCUCUUCUUCUCCAGACUAAACAAUCCCAGUUCUCUCAGCUUCUCUCCAUUAGACUUGUGCUAGACACCCUUCACCAGCUUCCUUUCCCUUUUCUGGGCUUUCUCCAGGGCCUCUGGAACAUCCCAUUUCCUAAAACAGUCAAAGUCUCUUGCCCCUUACAGAAGAGCUGUGACCAGCAGCCUUUGGUGCAGCGUUUCAGCUGGGACAUCACAAAUGUCCUAUGGGGCUUCUGUGAAGAGGCAUACUGGCUUACUGCUGGUCAACAGAGGUCCUGGUACAGGAUAACUGCUAUUUUGUACAGACCAAAUCUGUUUAAUUCAGCACUCUGGAAAACAAGGCUAAUACCACAGCUGGUGGUAAGUCAGGCUUUAGUAAGUACGUCCUGAAUUCCAUGAGCUCCGUAAGCCUGAAGCUGAGAUACUUAUAUGCAAAGACCACAAGAGAAAUUACUGAACAGCUUUUGUUCCAAAUAAUGGUAGCCACCACAGUAGCAGAAGGGCUUUCAAACAGCCAUUGUUCUGUGAAAUGACAAUGGCAUAAUAAAAAAAAAGUGGACAGUAAAUGUUGUAGAGUUUAGGAGAUGCUUCAGAUCUUCUUUGUGCUCUCCCUGCUCAUCCUCUCCUUCCCUUUCAUACCAUCCCUUCAGCUUGUUAACUGGACAGGCUGCAGUUCUCAGAAGAGCUAUAGUAGAAGUUCGUACUUACUUUCACCAAUGAGAAGGAAUUGUGCAAGAAAACUGCAGAAAUUCAUGAUGUAAGUCAUAAUCAAAACAAAAAAUUGCCACAGUCUCCUUGCUUUUUGGUCUUUCACAUGUUUUCCAUCUAUGUGUUCUGUCUUGCUGCAGUGUUAGCUUAGAAGGGCAGAAACGUUUAAAGCUCAUCAACACCUCUGCACUGUAGGUCUUAGCUGAGUCAAAUAGGUUGGUAGGACCAAGGUGCUGGCUAGACUCCUGCUGCAGUGUAAGGAUCACAAAAAUUGUAAGGAUGAACCAGAUCCAGAUAGUGAGAGUAAAAGAGCUGAGCAUACAAGGAGUAUAGAUUUUCUGAGUGCUGUUGCCCUCAUUUUAUGAGCAUGAUACGCAGACUCUUGUUCAUAGCUGGUGAAAAUGCAAAACUAAUGGUAGUAACUAUGUUGAAAAACAGGGCUUUCUAUAGAAAAAUACCUUUUCUAUAGCAUAGUUUUGAAAAUCUUUGCCAAAGUUACCAGCUACAGCACAGACCUUGGGAACUAACCCACAGUUAGCAAUUUAUUUCAUAGCCAUGCAGUAAUUUAUUCAUGGGAGCCACCAAAUAGCCCAACUGGAUAAAGAAAUGGGAAGCCUGAAGAACAGUUGUUUUCUGCUCCUGUUGCCUGUAACCAUUCACAUUCUUAAAACUGCUUUCAACAGAAACUGUUGAAGUACUUUUAUCUGAUACAACUCAUACUUGAUGCUGAGCUACAUGAAAGGUGCUCAAUAUUUACUUCUUUCAGCCUUCUUGUACCAGAAAAAGUCAGAACUAGAUUUACUUCUGCUAAUCAGUAAAUAACAGGAAUAUUGAGUCCACCAGAGGUUAGUUUUGCUGAAAACAAUCUUGUGAAGUAUAUACUACAAUUCCCUAUUUUAAGAAAGAGGCUGAGCCAGAACACUUCUACUGUGAGCCAGAAUAUAUUGGAGUUGAUAUAAAUAUGAGCAGUUUGAGGUUGUUUUCCAUACAAUUGCUUAAUUAUCAGUUUACAUGCAAACUUUGUUUCCUUCUCCUUUCAAAAUGCAGUCUCUGAAUACAAAAUUUUCCUUUCUCUCCAACUCCUAAAAAAAUAUCUGCUUUGGGACAAAAGGUGAAAAUAGUCCAUAAACUGAAAUGAAUUUAUUAGCUGAAUGUUUUUCUUGACAGUCCGAGUUGUAUAUCCUUAGCUGAUGGACAGCAUAUGUGCAAAAUGAACUCCUUGAAAUGCGAGUUUUCAGCUUGGACAAUCUCAUACCAUACUACAAAUACCAUUGUGAGGAAACUUUGGGAGGUCAGUAGUCCAAUUUUCUGCUUAAAAUACUCAAUCAUUAACACUAAAUUAAUUCCACUAUGGCUUCGUAUAGUUGAGUCUUGAAAACCUCUGAGGUUGGAAAAUCUACAGCUUCUGUCAUACCUCCCUGCAGUGCUGCACUACCAUCUUAGUGAAAAUGUUUUCCUAAUGUCCAAUGUGAACCUUCCAAGCCACAGCUUACAUUUGUUACUCCUGUCCACUUAUUGUUUGGUACUGUGAAGAGAAGUCUGGCCCUGUCAUCUUUGUAACUCUCAUCUGUACAGUCAUAGGCUGCUGCUCAAUUUCCUUUCAGCCUCUUCUUUUCCAUACUAAAUAAACUGUGCUGCCUUAGCUUCUCCUUAAAGCUUGUAUGCUCAUUGUCCCCAGCCAUCUAAACAGCUUUCCACAGGACUUUGUCCAAAUUUUUAAUAUCCUUUUCAAAAGGUCAGCGGGGGAGCUCCCAUAAAUGAGCACAGAAAUCUACUUUUGCCCUAUGGUAACCCAUGAGUUUAUUUAUUCAGGGUGGGAGCACAUUGUUGGCACACGUUCCACUUGACAUCCACUGUAGCACCUGGGUCUUUUCCAGUGGAGCUGCUGCUCUGACACUUUGCAGCCAGUUCUGAUGCUUGUGGUUGUUCUGCCCCAGCUGCACUUCUUCCCCCUGAGUCCCAUGGGUUUUCUGUUGUUCCAGUCCCUAAGUUUCUCAGGUCACUGUGAGCUGAAGUUCUGCUGUUUGUCCCAUCAGUUCCUACCCCUACUUUAGCAUCAUCUGUAAGAUGGUGUGUUUAGGGUGCAUACUGCCACACCAUCAGGACUGCAAAUGAAUCAUUGGACUAUGCAGGUGCUACUAUUACAAAAUGCUGAUCCCUGAGGGACUCCACCCCUACCAGUCAGACCUCAAGAUAUCGCUUUAUACCUCUAGAGCCCCAGUUUCUGCCCUGCACAACUGUCUGUUUCUCAAGCUCAAAUUUAGCUCCUGAGUGAGCUUUGGGAUAUGAUAGUGUACAGGAACUGCUGAACCAUGGCCUGAACCUCUGAUUGAUCACCUGAGGUGAGCAAUGGAUCAGCCACCGUAGUACAGGUGAAGGCAAUCCACCUGUGCUGCUAGAAGGUGUGGAGCCUGGCUGCACCUCUCCUAGACCCAUUUAAGAGCUGACUACCGGGGGAAAGGAUCUCUUCUGGAGAUCCCUCCUCUGGAGUUUUGCAGUGAGCUCAGGAUGCAGGUAAGCUUUCUAUCUGUUCUCUUUUUGUUUUUAUAAUCUGCUCUGUUAAACUCUCUUGUUUAUUUCAUAAUUAUAACGUCUUUAUAUUCACUGGCUAAUACAGAUAGGAAAUACUGUUAAAUGCUUUAUUAAAAUCCAUGCAUUUUAUACCUGCUAUCUUCCCAUUGCCUGCACAAAACCAUUUUUCCAGAGAAGGUAACCCACUUCACCAAGGACAGCUUGCUCUUUAGAUGUUUAUGCUGAGCAGUUUUCAUUACCUGCUUGUCCUUCGGGGGUUUGUAGAUAACCAGAGAACAUUCUUCACAGCAACCUCUCCUGUCAUCAUUUUCAUAGGUAGAGGCAAGCCAAUCACAUCAGCUCUGUCAACACACUUCUCUUCCCAUGGAUUGACUACUUCCAGCUUUCCUAGGUAGAAUCAAAACUGUUUCUACUCCACUUCCAUCUUGAUUUCAGCAAGUCCAUGCUGAGUUCUAGGAUCUGAAUUUGUCUGUGAAGGUUGAAGGAAAAAAAGACUAAAGUAUUUUAGCCAUUUCCGUGGUUUUUACUACAUCAUGUUAUCUUUCGUCUGUUGACUACCUUUUCCCAAACUUCCUUUUCCAGCAAAUGUACCUGUAAAAUUUCAUUACUUUCUGUGUCCCUAGGCAGUGGUAGCUUCAGCCCCAUCUUAUCUUUUGACCAUCCUGAUUUCAUCUUUACUGCAUUUGUCCUUAUGCUGAGCAAUAUUGUUUUACUGUUCUUUCAUUGGCUCUUUUUGUUUCCCUUCUUGUACUUUUUUUUUCUUUUUUUUUUUUUUUUUUUUUUUUUUUUGGAGUGUGUUUUAGUCCAUUGACAAGCUCCUGGCUUAGUCAAGCAGACUUCCUGCCAAAAUUCCCAGUCUUCCUGCACAAUGGCAUGGUUUGCUCCUGAGUCCUCAGAAAGUUUUUCUGUAAAAAAUUAGCCUGCUUUCCUGGGCACUCUUCCCCUUCAUGGCUUCUUCCCAGGGCAUUCCGCCUAACAAUUUCCUAAAAAUAAGCCUAAAAUUCUGUUCUCCUGAAAUCCAGAGUGCUAAAGCCUGCUGCUUUCCUUCCCAAGCAUUCUUCAGAUCCAGAGAUCAUUCAUCCUGUAGUUACUGCAACCCAAGCUGCCAACUGUGACUACACUUUCCAUUAGCACUUUCCACUGUGAGCAAUUGAACAUUACCUAUGGGCAACCCUAACGUUUCUAUGUUAGGAAAUUAUCACCAUCACUCCCAAGGACUUCCCUUGAUUUCUUGCAAAAUAUUAUGUUGUCAGUGUCUAGAGGGUUGAAACCACAUGAAGGCAUUAGUCUAAAAACAGAAGACCUUUACUUCUUUCUGGAAGGCCUCAUCCACUGUGUCUUCCUGGUUAGCCAUUUUUACGACUCUCCUCACUGUACCUCUGCUCUCUACUUUUGACCCAGAUAUGUGCUCAGUGAGAACAUCAUCCAGGUUUAUACUGGAAAACCAGGCAGAUUCUUCAGGAGCCCUCCUCCUCUUCUCUGCUUGUCCUUAACUAAACAGCUUUUAUCCAGGAACUCAUAUUAUAUGAGAAUCAAAGACCCUCACUCAAUGUGCCCAAUCUUUAUGUCUGUUUAUAGCUUGCUUACAUUUCACUUUCACAUGCUAUGUGGAAUUUGCUGUGUUAAAUGUUGUUUCUUAUUUUGCGUGAAAAAAAGUCUAGGACUUCUCCUCCUUACUCUUCUGUGAAGAGGAGUAGAUGAAGUUUGAAAGGAUGGAACAUAGGUGUUCUAUGUGGCAUGGCCCAAAGCAGAGAGCGGUGAGGUGCUGGAACAGGCUGCCCAGAGAGGCUGUGGAUGCCCCAUCCCUGGAGGUGUUCAAGGCCAGGUUGGGGCCCUGGGGCAACCUGGUCUGGAAGUUGGUGGCCCUGUCUGUGGCAGGGAGGUGGGAACUUGAUGAUACUUGUGGCCAUGCCACAGAGAACACUUAUGUUCCACCCUUUCAAACUUCAUCUACUCCUCUUUACAGAAAGGUAAACCCAAGCCAUUCUAUGAAAGCACAGAUCAGGAUGUGAAAUGAACCAUCAGACAAGUCCCAACACACAAGUUCAGUUUUCUGCCUACACAGCCGUCUGCACUCAUGGAAAAUACAGGAGUGGUAUAGAACAGCAAUGACUUUGCCUGUACUGUGAUACUACAUCUGUAUUGAAUGCAGGACUGUCAGGUUGAGGAACAGCAGAAAACAAAAUUGCUCUGAACUUCCAAGUAACAAGCACUUCAAAAAUUCAAAUAAAAAUGUAAGUUUAUUUCA